CACACCGCCCGUCACAUCAUGAAAGCCGUUUGUACCCGAAGUCGUCCGUGUUAACCGUAAGGAGACAGAUCGCCGAAGGUAUGGAUGGUGAUUGGGAUG
rnacentral:rRNA from 1 species